UCGUACAAUCGAGGUGCUUGGGGCUGUCGCUGACCUUUAGAAAAAGGUUGUGCACGCCCGGAGCACUCUCUAAUAUAUCCAUCUCACCCCUUUGUGCAUUGCCGCGUGGGUCCAUCCCUUAAAGGGGACCUGCGUUCUAUCAUAAAACUUGACGCAGUGUAGAAUGUUUUUAUUUUUGCGAUCAUACGCAAUCAAUA
rnacentral:misc_RNA from 1 species